GCGUGAUCGCUCAAGUGGCCGCCAUUUAAAGCAGCCCCUCUCCAGAGCCCUUUCGCAUGCCGCUCAUCACCCCUCCCUAGCCACCGCUGCCAUCCAGCCCCCCACAAGGUCUAAGGGACAGUGGACCAGCCGCCUGCUGAAAAAUUUUGCCGACCCCUGAUCUAGUGCUCUCCAGAUGAUAUUGGACCAACGCCCAUCAGUUCCAGCAUGACCAAUUAUUGGGGGUGGUGAGAGUUCUAGUCCAACAACAUCUUGAGGGCACUGUGGGUGUCUGCUAUAGACCUCCAAGCCCAGACUAAGGACUUGGAUGCUGCAUUCCUACAGCAGAUUACCAAACAUUUAAAAAGGAGAGAUAUAAUAGUCAUGGGAGACUUUAACUACCCCAGUAUCUGUUGGAACUCACACUUUGCCAAGAAUGUAAGGUCCAACAAAUUCCUCCAUUGCCUCAUUGUCAGUUUCAUUUCCCUGAAGGUGGAAGAAGCAACAAGGGGAUCAUCUCUCUUCUACCUGGUCCUUACCAACAGGGAGGAACAGAUCAAUGAAGUGAAAGUACUGAGAACCUUGGGAAGAAGUGACCAUGUUCUCUUGGGCUUAUUUUUACAAAGGCAAGGCAAAGCUGAGUGUAGUCAGACAUGCACUCUGGACUUUAAGAAGGUUGGUUUCAGAAACUUUUUACUGACUGAAAUCAUGGUCAGAAACACUCAAAGAGAAGCAAGUCUAAGCUGGAUAGGAGUUUCUUAAAGGUGAAACAUUGAAGGCACAAAUGAAGACAAUUCCAACAAGAAGGAAAAGUAGGAGGCACUUACUGUAAACUGGUGUGGCUGCAUAAGGAGCUUACAGAUGAGCUGAGAUGUAAGAAGGGCAUGUAUAAGAAAUGGAAGAAAGGAGAAAUCACGAAGAGUAUACACAAGUAGCCAACAGAUGCAGGGGAAAGGUCAGGCAGGCCAAAGCUCAAAAUGAACUCAGGUUUGCAAGAAAGGUUAAAAGCAAUAAAAAGGUUUCUUUGGCUAUGUUCGAAGCAAGAGAAAGAGCAAGCAAGUAGAAGGACUCUUGUGUGGAGAAGAUGGAGAAAUACUAUUGAGUGACUGGAAGAAGGUGAACUGCCUAACAUCUGCUUUGCCUCUGUCUUCACCCAAAAGGAAACUGAUGCCCAGCCUGGUGAUAACAGAAUAAACAAUGCAAGGAGGGAGCUGAAGGGCUAAAGGAGCUUGCAGAUGUGAUUUCUGGGCCUCUGUCUAUAAUCUUUGAGAAUUCCUGGAGAACCAGUAAGGUCCCUGUGGCCACCAUCUUCAAAAGCGGGGGAAAGGAAGACCCAGGUAACUACAGACCAGUUGACAGUAAGAACUAUUCGAAAGUGAAACGGACUCCUUUGGGAGAUGAUGGACUCGCCUUCCUUGGAAGUAUUUUAAGCAUAGGUUGGAUGGCCUUCUGUCAUAUAUGAUUUAGUUGAGAUUCCUGCAUUUCACAGGGUUGGACUAGAAGACUCUUGGUCUCCCUUCUAACUCUACCAUUCUAAGAUUCAUAGAUGCUAGAAACAGUUUGAUCCCUCUUCCUUUCAUUAAAUGAACAGCUUCCAUGACUGUUGCUGCUGCAUAUUUUCUCUGAACAUCUUUUCCAUGGGAGACCACUUCAGCCAGCAGCUGCACCCACCUCCUAUGAAUGCAAUCAUAGAUGCAGGGCAAUCUAUUGCACUAUAUGAAAAAUUAGAGCAUUUUUAUUCUUGUCUUUAUUUUGAUUCCUUCUAGGAGUUAGAAAAUAGGAUUGCUGAUUAAAAUGGAUACACUUCAGCUUCGUCCAAAGCCCUUCCUGACUGGCAAUAAGAUUGACCUGAAUCAUGCUAAUCAACAAUUGCUGUAUGUUAGGCUUAUGGAAAUACAACAUCUGCACAAAAAGGGAGAAGGAUAAUCAGUUGCUGAUUACAAAACUUCACUUUAUUUUAAAAUGAUUUUGUGUGUGUGUGUUUUAAGGUCAAUUUCUGUUGGGACAGGAAAUAUCAGUAUGAGACUCCCCAAGCCCUUGCUCAUUUUAUAUUAAUGAGAUCAUCUCACACAAUUGAAUUAAUAUUUGCAAUACAUUUGAUCAGACUGCUGGUCUUCCUAUAGUGACUUGUGGAUGGAUACAUUAUUCCUACCAUAUAGAUUUGCUGAACUCUCUUCAAUUAGAAAUUGCUUCAUGUAGAGAAAAGUCUGUGUCACACAAUCAAAAUUAUGAAUACUGUUUCUGAAUUGCAUUGUAGACUUUCCCCAUGAAUAUUGUGUGUAGCCAUCAGUUAACUUCACUGUAUACGGAAAGUAGCUAAAUCAGUUGUAAAAAUAUUAAUAUUCCUUUAUUUAUCUUAAUGCCUGAUCAAACUUAUUUAGCAUGUAUUUUUGAAGGAGUGUUUUGAAAUCCCAUUAGUUAUUUCAUAUUUUUUUUUGCAUCAGGGACAGUGUAGUCAGAGGUAGGCAACCUUUUGCUAGUAGUUAACUGAAUCUCUGCAGCUCAGGACAAAGUUGACUUGGGAAACCUAGACAUAUUUUAUAUUGCAUAUUAACAUGCUACAUCUAUUUGAAGCCUUUCUUACAUCUUUUUAAAUAUUGUAAGGAAUUUUGUGCGUCAUUGCUUCCUCCCUUUUUUUGUGGGAGUAUAGUGCAAGUUUCAGCUCAGAGGGCUCAUCCAGACUUCCAACUUUCCCCUGGGAGAAUGCGCUCUUUAGUGCUGAAUCAGAGCAAUCAGUAAUUAGGUUGUCUGUGGAUUGGCAUUUGCUCCAAUUCACCGCUAAAGAGCAGAUUUUCCCUGGCAAAGCAGUGGAACAAACAGAACACUGCUUGGACAUGUGCAGGACAAGUGGGAAACCACUUUGGACCCGUGCUUUCUGUGCACAAGACAAGUGGAAAUGUGGAUGUGAUGAAAGUCUGCAGCCUCUGGUUAUAUCUACGUUGCCACAUUCUACAAAUAGCUGUUGAAAUCUUUUGAUUCUUUUCCUAUAAGGAUAUAGAAUAGUUUGUGUUCUUGCUUGGACAUGAGAUUUGCUCCUCGUCUUUUAGGCUUAUGUGGCAUCAUGCCAGGAGCUAGAUGCCAUCAACUCCUGAACAGACUGCCUAAGAGAAGAGGAACUUUCUUCUUUUUACACAGGAGGAGUGACUUUUCCUAAUAUGUUACCAUUACUUGCUGUAAUACAUGCCUGCACCACAUAAAUACAAAGUAGGUAUGCUUUUUUUCCUGAAAAGAACUGGUUUGUAUCCAAUGCAAUCUGUCUGCAGGUGGAAAAGACUUUCCCUUCCUCUCCUCUCUUCUGCACCCC